rnacentral:rRNA from 1 species
GACGAACGCUCCCGUUGUGCUUACACAUGCAAGUCGAACGGAAAGGCCCUGCUUGCAGGGUACUCGAGUGGCGAACGGGUGAGUAACACGUGGGUGAUCUGCCCUGCACUUCGGGAUAAGCUUGGGAAACUGGGUCUAAUACCGGAUAGGAACCAUCUUUAGUGUGGUGGUUGGAAAGUUUUUUCGGUGUAGGAUGAGCUCGCGGCCUAUCAGCUUGUUGGUGGGGUAAUGGCCUACCAAGGCGGCGACGGGUAGCCGGCCUGAGAGGGUGUACGGCCACAUUGGGACUGAGAUACGGCCCAGACUCCUACGGGAGGCAGCAGUGGGGAAUAUUGCACAAUGGGCGCAAGCCUGAUGCAGCGACGCCGCGUGGGGGAUGAAGGCCUUCGGGUUGUAAACUCCUUUCGCUAGGGACGAAGCUUUUUGUGACGGUACCUAGAUAAGAAGCACCGGCUAACUACGUGCCAGCAGCCGCGGUAAUACGUAGGGUGCGAGCGUUGUCCGGAAUUACUGGGCGUAAAGGGCUCGUAGGUGGUUUGUCGCGUCGUCUGUGAAAUUCUGGGGCUUAAUUCCGGGCGUGCAGGCGAUACGGGCAUAACUUGAGUGCUGUAGGGGUAACUGGAAUUCCUGGUGUAGCGGUGAAAUGCGCAGAUAUCAGGAGGAACACCGAUGGCGAAGGCGGGUUACUGGGCAGUUACUGACGCUGAGGAGCGAAAGCAUGGGUAGCGAACAGGAUUAGAUACCCUGGUAGUCCACGCCGUAAACGAUGAGUGCUAAGUGUUAGGGGGUUUCCGCCCCUUAGUGCUGCAGCUAACGCAUUAAGCACUCCGCCUGGGGAGUACGACCGCAAGGUUGAAACUCAAAGGAAUUGACGGGGACCCGCACAAGCGGUGGAGCAUGUGGUUUAAUUCGAAGCAACGCGAAGAACCUUACCAAAUCUUGACAUCCUUUGACAACUCUAGAGAUAGAGCCUUCCCCUUCGGGGGACAAAGUGACAGGUGGUGCAUGGUUGUCGUCAGCUCGUGUCGUGAGAUGUUGGGUUAAGUCCCGCAACGAGCGCAACCCUUAAGCUUAGUUGCCAUCAUUAAGUUGGGCACUCUAAGUUGACUGCCGGUGACAAACCGGAGGAAGGUGGGGAUGACGUCAAAUCAUCAUGCCCCUUAUGAUUUGGGCUACACACGUGCUACAAUGGACAAUACAAAGGGCAGCGAAACCGCGAGGUCAAGCAAAUCCCAUAAAGUUGUUCUCAGUUCGGAUUGUAGUCUGCAACUCGACUACAUGAAGCUGGAAUCGCUAGUAAUCGUAGAUCAGCAUGCUACGGUGAAUACGUUCCCAAGUGG